UACGUAGGGGGCAAGCGUUGUCCGGAUUUAUUGGGCGUAAAGAGCGUGUAGGCGGUCUGGUAGGUCCGUUGUGAAAACUCGAGGCUCAACCUCGAGACGCCGAUGGAAACCCUCAGACUAGAGUCCGGAAGAGGAGAGUGGAAUUCCUGGUGUAGCGGUGAAAUGCGCAGAUAUCAGGAAGAACACCCGUGGCGAAGGCGGCUCUCUGGUACGUGACUGACGCUGAGACGCGAAAGCGUGGGGAGCAAACAGG
rnacentral:rRNA from 1 species